CUACUAUGUUCAGAGUUUGAUCCUGGCUCAGGAUGAACGCUAGCUACAGGCUUAACACAUGCAAGUCGAGGGGUAACAUGAAGAAAGCUUGCUUUCUUUGAUGACGACCGGCGCACGGGUGAGUAUCGCGUAUCCAACCUGCCCAUAAGUAGGGAAUAGCCUUGCGAAAGUAAGAUUAAUGCCCUAUGGUUUCCAUUAAAGACAUCUGAGAUGGAAUAAAGAUUUAUCGCUUAUGGAUGGGGAUGCGUCUGAUUAGGUAGUAGGCGGGGUAACGGCCCACCUAGCCGACGAUCAGUAGGGGUUCUGAGAGGAAGGUCCCCCACAUUGGAACUGAGACACGGUCCAA
rnacentral:rRNA from 1 species